GCUAAUACCGGAUAGUCUGGCUUUAAAUAAGAAGUCGGUAAAGGAUGCCUCUGCAUAUGCAUUCGUCCGAGGAUGAGCCCGCGUCUCAUUAGCUAGUUGGUAGGGUAAUGGCCUACCAAGGCAACGAUGAGUAGCUGGUCUGAGAGGAUGAUCAGCCACACUGGAACUGAAACACGGUCCAGACUCCUACGGGAGGCAGCAGUGGGGAAUAUUGCGCAAUGGGCGAAAGCCUGACGCAGCAACGCCGUGUGAGGGAUGAAGGCUUUCGGGUCGUAAACCUCUGUCGGAAGGGAAGAACGGGCAUUGGUCUAAUAGGCCUUUGUUUUGACGGUACCUUUAGAGGAAGCACCGGCUAACUCCGUGCCAGCAGCCGCGGUAAUACGGAGGGUGCAAGCGUUAUUCGGAAUUACUGGGCGUAAAGCGCACGUAGGCGGCCUUGUAAGUCAGGGGUGAAAUCCCACGGCUCAACCGUGGAACUGCCUUUGAAACUGCAGGGCUUGAAUCCUGGAGAGGGUGGCGGAAUUCCUGGUGUAGGAGUGAAAUCCGUAGAUAUCAGGAGGAACACCGGUGGCGAAGGCGGCCACCUGG
rnacentral:rRNA from 1 species